AACUUCUGUAACUAUGGAAUAUGGAAAUCCCAGAAUCUGCAUAUGGGCAUGUGUCAGGAGAGUAGGGAACACCUUGAUAAAAGGUGAGAUCUAUAAGCUAUGUGCAAGGAAGACUGAUUCUCUUCAUGCCUAAAGCUGCCUGGAGAAGACCCACCAAGAGUAUGCAUAGCAGUCUCUUUUACUCUAAAUCUAAAAACUUCAAUAUUAUUCUCAUCCCCAAAUACCCUCCAGACUGACAUUAAAAAUUUACCUUCACAUAAACCAAAUGUGUAUUUAAGAAUGCAGAAAAAUAAGGUAUGUCAAAGGAGAAUGAAAUAAUGCUUGAAAUAACUACAUACACAGCAUUUCUAAAAUAGAAGUCAAAAGCUAGUACUCUUGAAUUUCUCAUUUUAAUGUUUCCUUGUAGACAUUCUGACAUCAUGGACAUCAGUGAUUAAGAUUCUUAAAGACUUAAAGUGGUAACACUGAAUGUUUCAAGGAAUCAGCUACUGUGUUUUUUUUUCUCUUCAACCCUGGAGAAGUCAUAAAGGAAGUAGAUUGAAUUCAUUCAGCAAGAACCAGGCUUGACAACAGUAGCCUUACUUUAUAUGUGAACUAUGAAGGCAACACAACAUAAUAGGAAAGAACAAGGCAUUGAAGUCAGAAGGCUCUUUUCUUUACCCUGUUCAACACUCAGUUGGUGUGAUUUCUUGGCAAGCUGCAUAGCUCACUAAGCCACAAUUUCCAUAUCUAUAAACUAACGAUAAUUGAGCCUAUUUUCCUAGGGCUAUCAUGAGGAUUAAAGGAAUUAAAGCAUUUGCAACUCCACACAAUGCCUGACAUGUGAUAACUCAAUAAACAUUGUACUUAUAAUAGCUACAGGAGAAGAAAAGGAGUUGGAGCCAGAGGCAUAGAACUGUGAUAAACCAAUCUCAUCCUUACUUCCCAUCUUCUACAACAGAGACAAUAGCUAAACAGCCAUCAUAGCUCUGGACCUCAAGAUUUUGUGAUGUCCCUGGUCAGAAGUUCAGGCUUUUAAGAAGACAGAAAGAAAAUGACACAAUAAGCUUUAUUUUCAUCUUUCUAAAAUGGGACAAGAGGAAAUUUCCGUCUGCCUUCUGAAAUUUGCAGAUAUGAACUGAUGAUGGUCAAAUUUAUAGAUGGGAACCUUACAGACUUAUUAAUGAGCAUAGCAACAUCAAGGAACAUCACUAAUCCCGUGCAACUGCUAAGCUGUACAUUCUUCUUCAGAGGUGAGAGAGAGACAUAUGAAGACAGGCAAUUGGGAAGGUUAGCUUCUGACUCCUGGGAUAUAACAUGAUCUGGACACAGUGCCUGUUGGUCUUGGAAAGCCUCUGAGAAGCUCUAGGAAUACAAUUCCCAGGAGAAUGUUGACCUGAGCAUGCAGAGAAUGAGUGGAAGUCUCUUUGUAUGGACAUGUAUUUCUACAAUACCCAUGAAUGUUUUCCUUCUGGCCACUGAAGAGGAGGAUUCAUCUUUAUCUUCACUGUCAUCAAAGGAUAAGAUUAAUUAUGCCACAGUAAGUAACUACCAAAUUCCAAGCACUGGGUGAGUGUAAACAGGUCAGGUUUGGAGCAUAAGCGAAACCCGAGAUGCUCAUAAUCUGUGUAGCAACUCAAAAACACACAAGGGGGACUGCUGGGACCUGUGAACAGGAGAAUUCAAGAAGUGACACUCAGUGGAGAACUUGGGUGCUGGCUGCCUACCCCAUGCAAGCUAAGGAGCAUGUCCCACAACAAAGGUUGCAAACUGGUUUUAAUGACAGACCUACCUGAAAGAUAUCUCAUUCCUGAUGAGGACCCCACAAUUUCUUACCACCCUUCUGACAGGAGGUCAUGUAGUUGACUCUGAGGAUGUGGUGCUCUGAGGGCAGUGUGAGAUUCCAGGAAGGGUCCAUGGGACUAGCAUGGUAAGUGUAGGCAUCUCUUAUUCUAUAUUUAGGAAGAUGCAUCAUUUUGUUAUCACAGCUAAAAUUUGGAAAUGCUUAGUCUUUCA